GAUGAACGCUAGCGAUAGGCUUAACACAUGCAAGUCGAGGGGCAGCACAAGGUAGCUUGCUAUCUGGGUGGCGACCGGCGCACGGGUGCGUAACGCGUAUGCAACUUGCCCUAUACAGGAGGAUAACCCGUCGAAAGACGGACUAAUACUGCGUAUGCUCACAACUUGGCAUCAAGUGGUGAGGAAAGAAAUCCGGUAUAGGAUAGGCAUGCGUCCCAUUAGCUUGUUGGUGAGGUAACGGCUCACCAAGGCAACGAUGGGUAGGGGAACUGAGAGGUUUAUCCCCCACACUGGUACUGAGACACGGACCAGACUCCUACGGGAGGCAGCAGUGAGGAAUAUUGGUCAAUGGGCGCGAGCCUGAACCAGCCAAGUCGCGUGAAGGAUGACUGUCUUAUGGAUUGUAAACUUCUUUUAUACGGGAAUAACAAGAGUCACGUGUGACUCCCUGCAUGUACCGUAUGAAUAAGCAUCGGCUAACUCCGUG
rnacentral:rRNA from 1 species